GGGUGCACCAGGCGCGAAAACUNUGCAAUGCGGGAAACCGUGACAAGGGAACUCUGAGUGCCCGUUAAAUCGGGCUGUCCAUCGGUUUAAAUAACCGGUGAAGAAAGGGCCGGGCAAGACCGGUGCCAGCCGCCGCGGUAAUACCGGCGGCUCGAGUGGUGGCCACUAUUACUGGGCUUAAAGCGUUCGUAGCUGGUUUGUUAAGUCUCUGGGGAAAUCUUCCGGCUUAACCGGAAGGCGUCUCAGGGAUACUGGCAGACUAGGGACCGGGAGAGGUGAGAGGUACUCCAGGGGUAGGAGUGAAAUCCUGUAAUCCUUGGGGGACCACCUGUGGCGAAGGCGUCUCACCAGAACGGCUCCGACAGUGAGGGACGAAAGCUGGGGGAGCAAACCGGAUUAGAUACCCGGGUAGUCCCAGCUGUAAACGAUGCGCGUUAGGUGUAUCGGUGACCACGAGUCACCGAGGUGCCGAAGAGAAAUCGUGAAACGUGCCGCCUGGGAAGUACGGUCGCAAGGCUGAAACUUAAAGGAAUUGGCGGGGGAGCACAAGGGCGAUUCGC
rnacentral:rRNA from 1 species